GGACCCGCACAAGCGGUGGAGUAUGUGGUUUAAUUCGAUGCAACACGAAGAACCUUACCAGGGUUUGAAAUCAUUUCAAAACUCCUUGAAAGAGGAGCCUCCUUCGGGAUGAAAUGACAGGUGGUGCAUGGCUGUCGUCAGCUCGUGUUGUGAAAUGUCGAGUUAAGUCUCGUAACGAGCGCAACCCAUGUCUCUUGUUGCUCACUGAGUGCUUAAGAGAGACUGCCGACCAACAUCGGAGGAAGGUGUGGAUGAUGUCAAGUCAGCAUGCCCCUUACAUCCUGGGCUACACACGUACUACAAUGGUAAGGACAAAGAGAUGCUAACUCGCGAGAGCAAGCU
rnacentral:rRNA from 1 species